AAAAAAAAAAAAAUCGUGAAAAAAAGUAUCUAUUCUUCUAACACUUUUGUGAGGGUUACAACAGGUUUUCAUCUAUAAAAUAAUGAAAAAAUGUAUUCCUUUCUUAAGAACAUUUGUCAGGAAUGGGUAUUAAAUUCAAUCAAGUGUUUUCUUGGGAUGCAUCAUGCUGACUAUGGUUUUCUACUUUGACCUGUUAAUAUGGUGAAUUAAAUAUAAUGACAUAUCAUCGAUCAUCCUUCAAUCCAAUCUUAUUUGGUGUUACACUUUAGUUUUGUUAUUUUCUUUAGGAUUAUUGUGUCAAUAUUCAAAAGUCAAAUUCAUGUGUGUUAUAUGUUUGCAUGUAAUAUAUUUCAAUAUUGUGCUUUCUUCAUACAUACAUUUUGGUAGAUUUUCUUCUUUCUCUUGUGGAAAAUCUGAUUGGCUAAAGUUUUCUGGGCAUGGGCUGUGUGUGUGUGUGUGUGUGUGUGUUUUAGAGGGGGCAAAGGGUUUUUGUUUCUUUCUGUUGGAGAGAGAUUUAUUUAUUUAGAGAUGGAGUCUCACUCUGUUGCCCAGGCUGGAGUCCAGUGGUGCAAUCUUGGCUC
rnacentral:lncRNA from 1 species